rnacentral:rRNA from 1 species
GACGAACGCUGGCGGCGCGCCUAACACAUGCGAGUCGAACGAGCGAGAGAGAGCUUGCUUUCUUGAGCGAGUGGCGAACGGGUGAGUAACGCGUGAGGAACCUGCCUCAAAGAGGGGGACAACAGUUGGAAACGACUGCUAAUACCGCAUAAGCCCACGACCCGGCAUCGGGUUGAGGGAAAAGGAGCAAUCCGCUUUGAGAUGGCCUCGCGUCCGAUUAGCUAGUUGGUGAGGUAACGGCCCACCAAGGCGACGAUCGGUAGCCGGACUGAGAGGUUGAACGGCCACAUUGGGACUGAGACACGGCCCAGACUCCUACGGGAGGCAGCAGUGGGGAAUAUUGCACAAUGGGGGAAACCCUGAUGCAGCGACGCCGCGUGGAGGAAGAAGGUCUUCGGAUUGUAAACUCCUGUUGUUGAGGAAGAUAAUGACGGUACUCAACAAGGAAGUGACGGCUAACUACGUG